GUCACUGCUCCUCGUUCCCGGCGUUCUGAAGCAUUAAGAAAAAAAGAUGGCAACCUCCUCCACAACCUUGACUGUAUGGAUAAUCGGAGACAGCUAUGUCCGGCGUGGAGCCCAGAGAGCUACAGAGACCAUCGGCAGCAACCUUGGCCUCGACCUUCGCGCCUGCUGGUUCGGUUGGGGUGGACUGCGCUGGAGAGGUCUCCUCCCCUUCUUUUCCAACUCCCUGCGAGGAAGAGCAGCCCCGGAUGUCCUCCUCAUCCACUGUGGCGGCAACGACUUGGGGGAUGUGCCCAGUGUU